CAGCAGCCACGGGAAUACGUAGGUGGCAAGCGUUGUCCGGAAUUAUUGGGCGUAAAGCGCGCGCAGGUGGUUUAAUAAGUCUGAUGUGAAAGCCCACGGCUCAACCGUGGAGGGUCAUUGGAAACUGUUAAACUUGAGUGCAGGAGAGAAAAGUGGAAUCCCUAGUGUAGCGGUGAAAUGCGUAGAGAUUAGGAGGAACACCAGUGGCGAAGGCGGCUUUUUAGCCUGUAACUGACACUGAGGCGCGAAAGCGUGGGGAGCAAACAGGAUUAGAUACCCCUGUAGUCCCUGUCUCUUAUAC
rnacentral:rRNA from 1 species